rnacentral:misc_RNA from 1 species
AGGAUAUGCACUGUAAAACAAUGAGGGAAAAGAAUAGGCGGUGGUUGAAGGAUAAGGAGGAAGAGAGCAGUAGUUAUUGCUUUGUACAUCGGAAUCUGCCAGGCGGAUGGUGAAGUUAUUGUAAUUGAUUUCCUUGACAUAAUAUUUUGCUGAAAAAAAGUAUGCUACAGGAACGUUAUUCUCGCAAGCAAGUUCAUACUCUUCCUGGCCACAGAUUACAGGAUCGGUUUUCAAUCGGAAAGGGUAGCUAAUG